UACGUAGGUGGCAAGCGUUGUCCGGAUUUACUGGGCGUAAAGGGCGUGCAGGCGGUCUGUUACGUCUAGGGUGAAAGCUCCCGGCUCAACUGGGAGAGGUCCUUGGAUACUGGCGGACUUGAGGGAGGCAGAGGAGAAUAGAAUUCCCGGUGUAGUGGUGAUAUGCGUAGAUAUCGGGAGGAAUACCAGUGGCGAAGGCGGUUCUCUGGGCCUUACCUGACGCUGAGACGCGAAAGCGUGGGGAGCAAACAGG
rnacentral:rRNA from 1 species